CGGAGGCGGGGUGCUAAUACAUGCAAGUCGAGCGGACAGAAGGGAGCUUGCUCCCGGAUGUUAGCGGCGGACGGGUGAGUAACACGUGGGUAACCUGCCUGUAAGACUGGGAUAACUCCGGGAAACCGGAGCUAAUACCGGAUAGUUCCUUGAACCGCAUGGUUCAAGGAUGAAAGACGGUUUCGGCUGUCACUUACAGAUGGACCCGCGGCGCAUUAGCUAGUUGGUGAGGUAACGGCUCACCAAGGCGACGAUGCGUAGCCGACCUGAGAGGGUGAUCGGCCACACUGGGACUGAGACACGGCCCAGACUCCUACGGGAGGCAGCAGUAGGGAAUCUUCCGCAAUGGACGAAAGUCUGACGGAGCAACGCCGCGUGAGUGAUGAAGGUUUUCGGAUCGUAAAGCUCUGUUGUUAGGGAAGAACAAGUGCAAGAGUAACUGCUUGCACCUUGACGGUACCUAACCAGAAAGCCACGGCUAACUACGUGCCAGCAGCCGCGGUAAUACGUAGGUGGCAAGCGUUGUCCGGAAUUAUUGGGCGUAAAGGGCUCGCAGGCGGUUUCUUAAGUCUGAUGUGAAAGCCCCCGGCUCAACCGGGGAGGGUCAUUGGAAACUGGGAAACUUGAGUGCAGAAGAGGAGAGUGGAAUUCCACGUGUAGCGGUGAAAUGCGUAGAGAUGUGGAGGAACACCAGUGGCGAAGGCGACUCUCUGGUCUGUAACUGACGCUGAGGAGCGAAAGCGUGGGGAGCGAACAGGAUUAGAUACCCUGGUAGUCCACGCCGUAAACGAUGAGUGCUAAGUGUUAGGGGUUUCCGCCCCUUAGUGCUGCAGCUAACGCAUUAAGCACUCCGCCUGGGGAGUACGGUCGCAAGACUGAAACUCAAAGGAAUUGACGGGGGCCCGCACAAGCGGUGGAGCAUGUGUUUAAUUCGAAGCAACGCGGAAGAACCUUACCAGUCUUGACAUCCUCUGAACAACCCUAGAGAUAGGGCUUUCCCUUCGGGGACAGAGUGACAGGUGGUGCAUGAUGUCGUCAGCUCGUGUCGUGAGAUGUUGGUAGUCCCGCACGAGCGCAACCUUGAUCUUAGUUGCCAGCAUUCAGUUGG
rnacentral:rRNA from 1 species